rnacentral:rRNA from 1 species
AGUGAACGCUGGCGGCAGGCCUAACACAUGCAAGUCGAACGGCAGCACAGUAAGAGCUUGCUCUUACGGGUGGCGAGUGGCGGACGGGUGAGGAAUACAUCGGAAUCUACUUUUUCGUGGGGGAUAACGUAGGGAAACUUACGCUAAUACCGCAUACGACCUACGGGUGAAAGCAGGGGAUCUUCGGACCUUGCGCGAUUGAAUGAGCCGAUGUCGGAUUAGCUAGUUGGGGGGGUAAAGGCCCACCAAGGCGACGAUCCGUAGCAGGGCUGAGAGGAGGGUCAGCGCCACGGGAACGGAGACGCGGUCCAGACUCCUACGCUAGGGACCAGUGGGGAAUGUUAGACAAUGGGCGCAAGCCUGGUCCAGCCAUGCCACGUGGGUGGAGAAGGCCUUCGGGUUGUAAAGCCCUUUUGUUGGGAAAGAAAAGCAGCAGGUUAAUACCCCGCUGUUCUGACGGUACCGAAAGAAUAAGCACCGGCUAACUUCGUG